AAAAACGCCCUUUUCAGGGCGACAAAAACCUUGCAUAAAGAGUUUU
rfam:Lutzomyia longipalpis Contig10129, whole genome shotgun sequence.